rnacentral:pre_miRNA from 1 species
AUUAUACUCCCUUCGUCCGAAAAUACUUGUCAUCAAAAUGGACAAAAAGGGAUGUAUCUAAAACUAAAAUACAUCUAGAUACAUCCCUUUUAUCCAUUUUGAUGACAAGUAUUUCCGGACAGAGGGAGUAUAUA